ensembl:lncRNA
GCCGAGGUGAUUGAGCUGACGUCGAUCAACGAUGAAUCCGGGUCUAGAAGGCACCAAUGUAACCGGUGCUGUACUGCACCGCUGUAACUCUGGGUUGUAUAUGUGGUUGAUUGAGACUAUAGACGGGGACUUUGGAGAUCAGGGAGUUUUAACAAAGCAGAAUUCACUCUGCAUCCUGCAUCCAAAAGAAAAGAAAACAUUUGUAGAGCACAUAUGUUCCGCGAAUCGUCGCCUCUUAUAGGAGGGACUGGGAUCAUUCGAGGAGCUAGCCAUCAUUCACACAUUCAAUAGCCUGCCGAUACCUUAGCUAGCUAUUAACCACAUGUUGAAAUAAUCCUAAAAAGUACAAUUACAUCGUAACAAUACCAUCCACUUAUGAGUAACCUCUAAAUAGACAUUAUUCAUGAACAAAACACUGUAUGACUGUGCUUAAAAUAAUCAAACUUUUCUGAAGACAGAAAAAGCGGGCCAACCUCAAAGUGCAUGAAAAUGAUUUGAGCACGAGCAAGCAGGGCAACACGUAAGUACACACUCCCCUUCUCCCAAGAUGCAGGCAUGCAUAAUAACAAAUCAACACGACAUAUGAACCUAGUGAAAUUCACAAAGUACUUUAAUUAACUGUUACACAAGAUUCCUGUCGGUGGGGGAAAUAUUUGGCACGUAGUCUGGAUGUAGAUGGUCAUUUACGUGGAACCCUGAAAUAAACGCCUACUUUUCAAGGCUGCAGUUUGAGGGGCCCUAACGCAACUAUCAACCCUGAGAGAACCAGUUGGUAAGUCUUUCAACUUCAUUGAUAACAUUAUUUAACAGAAAUGUCUUAGAGGCCACGCACGCCUCCAACUCAAUCAUCAAGUUCGCGGACGACACAACAGUGGUAGGCUUGAUUACCAACAACGACGAGACGGCCUACAGGGAGGAGGUGAGGGCCCUCGGAGUGUGGUGUCAGGAAAAUAACCUCACACUCAACGUCAAUAAAACAAAGGAGAUGAUUGUGGACUUCAUUGAUGGAACAGUAGUGAGGA